GACGUAGGGGGCGAACGUUAUCCGGAAUUAUUGGGCGUAAAGGGUGCGUAGAUGGCCUGAUAAGUUAACAGUGGUAAAUCGAGGCUCAACCUCGCGGAAACUGAUAAUACUGUCUGGCUCGAGUACAGAAGAGGUUAACGGAAUUCCAUGUGGAGCGGUAAAAUGCAUAGAUAUAUGGAAGAGCACCAACAACGGCGAAGGCAGUUAACUAUUCUUUUACUGACAUUGAGGCACGAAAGCGUGGGGAGCAAAACGG
rnacentral:rRNA from 1 species